rnacentral:rRNA from 1 species
UACGAAGGGGGGCUAGCGUUGCUCGGAAUUACUGGGCGUAAAGGGCGCGUAGGCGGAUAGUUUAGUCAGAGGUGAAAGCCCAGGGCUCAACCUUGGAAUUGCCUUUGAUACUGGCUAUCUUGAGUCCGGAAGAGGUAAGUGGAACUGCGAGUGUAGAGGUGAAAUUCGUAGAUAUUCGCAAGAACACCAGUGGCGAAGGCGGCUUACUGGUCCGGAACUGACGCUGAGGUGCGAAAGCGUGGGGAGCAAACAGG